rnacentral:rRNA from 1 species
GGGGAACCAGGACUUUUACUCUGAAUAAAUUAGAUCGCUUAAAGAAGGCCUAUGCUCGAAUACAUUAGCAUGGAAUAAUAGAAUAGGACGUGUGGUUCUAUUUUGUUGGUUUCUAGGACCGCCGUAAUGAUUAAUAGGGACAGUCGGGGGCAUCAGUAUUCAAUUGCCAGAGGUGAAAUUCUUGGAUCUAUUGAAGACUAACUACUGCGAAAGCAUUUGCCAAGGAUGUUUUCAUUGAUAAGGAACGAAAGUUAGGGGAUCGAAGACGAUCAGAUACCGUCGUAGUCUUAACUAUAAACUAUGCCGACUAGGGAUCGGACGAUGUUAUCUUUUGACGCGUUCGGCACCUUUCGAGAAAUCAAAGUGCUUGGGCUCCAGGGGGAGUAUGGUCGCAAGGCUGAAACUUAAAGAAAUUGACGGAAGGGCACCACCAGGGGUGGAACCUGCGGCUUAAUUUGACGCAACACGGGGAAACUCACCAGGUCCAGACACGAUGAGGAUUGACAGAUUGAGAGCUCUUUCUUGAUUUCGUGGGUGGUGGUGCAUGGCCGUUCUUAGUUGGUGGAGUGAUUUGUCUGCUUAAUUGCGAUAACGAACGAGACCU